rnacentral:pre_miRNA from 1 species
UUAACUCAAAUUCGUAUGGAGUUAGCCUACGUUUACCAUUAGGGGCGCUGUUCCAACUGCAUACAAAUUUUAGUUA